GCAUAUGACUUCCUCAGCCGACACUGAAACACGGAAACUUCUUCCAUUAGGAAUGCACAUCUAGCCUUAAAAUGACCAGGACAUUAUGUAUAAAUAAUCAUAAUCAAAAAAUGAAGUAUAUCUGGCAGUAACACAUACCAUCAGCUUUGGACUCUGAUAUAGGCGUGCUUUCUGUUGCUGGAAAUUGGACCCGGAGGUGACCGCGGAACGAGGAGGAGGCGCUCCAGCUGGUUGUGUGGUGGCGGACGGCUAUCUCCGGCGGACCUGCAAGAAAUCUGUAGCCGGAGGUUCCGGCACAGGUCCUCCGAUGCUUAAGUCAGAGAGGAGGUUUUUGUGGAGAGAAGUAAUGGAGAUAAGCAAAGUAUGAAUCUAUUUUUUGGCCCGAGGGUAAGAAGAAGUCCCUUGCUUAGAGCUCUCCCCCUUUUUAAAGGAGGGGGUGUAGCGGUUACCUAUGAUCGGACGUGAUCGUGCAAGUUAAUGAGUUACCGUAAUCGGCUCGAGAUUUCGGGCUAGCUGGCGAUCCGUUGAGAUCGUGCGGAUAUGAAUGUUGACAGCCGUUGAGACGGAGAUUGCGAGAUUUGAUCCCAGAUAUGGAGGAGGAGGACUUGAUUUUCAAUGGAGUGGGGAGGUCCGCUUCUCUCUUUGACUGGGUCUUUCUUGGCUUUAAGGUCGAUCGAGCUUAACUCAGCCGGAAUCGAGGUUAUGAGCUCCGGGGUCGUUGGUGCCGAGACCGAGUGAUCUGAGGUCGGGCGCUCUGAGAGUAUGCUUGUUGUCGUCACAUUCGUCAUCAAGUGCCGGCAAAUUGAUCACGUGCUUUGAGUGAUCCAUUUUUAACCCAACACUUUUCAUAACUCCAACACCAGCAGCAUGGGCAUCAAUAAGUGAAGUUCCAACGGGUGUUCCAGCUAAUAGGCCUAGCUCCUAAAUUGAAAAAGAUCUUUAAAAGGAUUAAAAGAGAUGCAGUGUGGAUACUACAACUUGACAUACAGCCACCCUCCAAUAAGCAAUUUAUAUAGUUGGCCUAUUUUUCAGUAACAUGUGUGUUCACCGCAUUAAUGAUCUCAAAGCAUUGCCAUUGAAAUCAGACUUCAUGCGUCAGAACAGAAUCC
rnacentral:lncRNA from 1 species